CAUUAAGUGGCUGAAAUACAUAAGCGUUGGUCUCUUAAACCAAAUCAUAGUUUAAUUAACUCUUAAUGA
rnacentral:tRNA from 1 species